rnacentral:rRNA from 1 species
GACGAACGCUGGCGGCGUGCCUAAUACAUGCAAGUCGAGCGGACUAAUGGGAGCUUGCUCCCGUUAGUUAGCGGCGGACGGGUGAGUAACACGUGGGCAACCUACCUGUAAGACUGGGAUAACUUCGGGAAACCGGAGCUAAUACCGGAUGACAUAAAGGAACUCCUGUUCCUUUAUUGAAAGAUGGCUUCGGCUAUCACUUACAGAUGGGCCCGCGGCGCAUUAGCUAGUUGGUGAGGUAACGGCUCACCAAGGCGACGAUGCGUAGCCGACCUGAGAGGGUGGUCGGCCACACUGGGACUGAGACACGGCCCAGACUCCUACGGGAGGCAGCAGUAGGGAAUCUUCCGCAAUGGACGAAAGUCUGACGGAGCAACGCCGCGUGAGCGAUGAAGGCCUUCGGGUCGUAAAGCUCUAUUGUUAGGGAAGAAUAAGUGCUAGUUGAAUAAGCUGGCACCUUGACGGUACCUAACCAGAAAGCCACGGCUAACUACGUGCCAGCCGCCGCGGUAACAC